GUUUUUCGCUUGAGGAUGAGCCCAUACGGGAUUAGCUAGUUGGUGAGGUAAUGGCUCACCAAGGCUACGAUCCCUAACUGGUCUUAGAGGAUGAUCAGUCACACUGGAACUGAGACACGGUCCAGACUCCUACGGGAGGCAGCAGUAGGGAAUAUUGCACAAUGGGGGAAACCCUGAUGCAGCGACGCCGCGUGAGCGAUGAAGGCCUUCGGGUCGUAAAGCUCUGUCGCAUGGGAAUAACACAAUG
rnacentral:rRNA from 1 species